rnacentral:misc_RNA from 1 species
AAGUCGUAACAAGGUAACCGUAGGUGAACCUGCGGUUGGAUCAUUAACAAAUUCAUUAGGCCCCCGGCUGCCUCAAAAGGGCGAAGGGGAAAACCUAAACAUUUGUGUGCACCAUAUAUGUCCUUGGCAGUUCGAGUGUCUCAGGUUGCGUAACUGCCCUGAGUGCCUACUGAGGCUAUCCUUCGGGUUAGCCAAGGUUGGGCUGCCGAAUUUUUGUAACAACCUCUGUUUUUUUUAUGCCUGAACUUUUUUUAAUCUGUAAAGAUUGAAUUUAAAUACAACUUUUGACAACGGAUCUCUUGGCUCUC